rnacentral:rRNA from 1 species
UACGGGGAGGGCAAGCGUUAUUCUACGUUACUGGGUGUAAAAAGUAUUAAGGCGGUUUAAUAAGUUUCCUUUUAAAUAAUAAAAAUUCAAUUUUAGACUUGGAGGUAAAUACUGUUAAACUUGAGUUUAUUAGGAGAUAGUUGUAUGUUUAGUGUAGGUUUAAAAUCCUUCGAUAUUAAAAAGACAUUCAAUCGGUGAAGACUACUAUCUAUAGUAUAACUGACGUUGAAAUACAAAAGCGUGAGGAGCAAACAGG